AACGAACGCUGGCGGCAGGCCUAACACAUGCAAGUCGAGCGAACCCUUCGGGGUUAGCGGCGGACGGGUUAGUAACGCGUGGGAACGUGCCCAAAGGUACGGAAUAGCCUCGGGAAACUGAGAGUAAUACCGUAUGUGCCCCUCGGGGGAAAGAUUUAUCGCCUUUGGAUCGGCCCGCGUUGGAUUAGGUAGUUGGUGGGGUAAUGGCCUACCAAGCCGACGAUCCAUAGCUGGUUUGAGAGGAUGAUCAGCAACACUGGGACUGAGACACGGCCCAGACUCCUACGGGAGGCAGCAGUGGGGAAUCUUAGACAAUGGGGGAAACCCUGAUCUAGCCAUGCCGCGUGGACGAUGAAGGCCUUAGGGUUGUAAAGUCCUUUCAGCUGGGAAGAUAAUGACGGUACCAGCAGAAGAAGCCCCGGCUAACUCCGUGCCAGCCGCCGCCGUAACAC
rnacentral:rRNA from 1 species